CCUAUGAAGAACAACCUAACUCUAUGAGAACAACACUUAUGGAGGAGAAAUCGACGUGACUGACAUUUUCAUCUGAAGCGGGAGGUCAAACGGUUUCCUGAACUUCUCCCAUACAAUGGACCUGACGAGCGUGACAAACUGAGUGAGGAGUUUCUGGACUACCAGUCCAUGGACAUUGCCAUGCCCGAAGACCCAGCCACGUUCGACAUUGAGAGCUUUUGGGGAAACAUGGCAUCAAUGAAGAAUAAGGUGACCGGUAUGAGCAGAUUUGGCAGGCUCUCUCGUAUUGCCAAGUUGGUGUUGGUACUUCCACAUUCAAAUGCUGAUGCUGAACGAGUGUUCUCUGGUGGGACUGAACAAAACCAAAACCCGAAACAGUUUGGCUCUUGAUGGAACUCUAUCAUCCAUCAUGACUGUGAAGAUGGCAAACCUUGAGCCACAGUGUUUCAAAUGGGAGCCCCCUCCCUCUGUCAUCAAGGCAUCAAAAUCUGCCACAAACACCUACAACAUGAGACAUGUCAUGUAAAC